GGUGAUAAUUCAGGAACCAAGUGGUUCGAAGAUUAUGCAAUGGACCGAUGUUCAACUACAAGACGGUGUCGGAAGUUUGGAACUUCAGCUGUCAAAAGAGCCAGUU